CGCUCUUUUUUUUUCGUCUGUGAGCGGUAAAAGCAGCGCCGAGCGGCAAUUUGUAUGAGUGGCCGGUUUCUUCCGCUGACAAAGAAGCGGGCGCCAUGCUUCACCGGACGGCGCGCCGGCUGCUGGGGUACACCCCAAUAAACCCAGAUACGUCGCCAAUGCUCAUGUAUAGUCAAUGCCACUGGCACUACAACUUACCGCAGGGGAUGGAGCGCCCCAGCAGUGUGAACCGCUCUCUGCCGGCACCCUAUCAGCCACACCACAGCUCUGUGAACAAGUACCGUGGUGUAUGGAUCUCGACGGAGAUGCACCCCGCAUUUCUUGUAGGGCUUGAACCGCAGCUAAAGAAGCUUCCUCACGGGCGUUUGGUUCCGCAGACGCCGGUCGCGGAGGUGAUCGAUGAGUUCGAGAAGCUCAGCCCGCUGAUUGACGAUGCCGCGGCCCGCGAUGGCUGGCUUGCAAAGAUCUUUCAGCACUGCGCCUUCCAGCGCAGCGGUGCGGAGGCGAUGGCUCUGUGGAACAAGCACUGCGCUCCUCGAUUUAUGCGCGAUGACAGCGCGUCUGCGCCGCCUCUCCCACUCGUGCAGGCUAUCCUCUUCUGCUGUAGCAAGUCUGACAGCGCAGAGUGGCGGCCCAUCUUUACCAAAUGUCUAAAGGAUGGGUGGAACUACACCCCCUCCUUUGACACACCGCAGUGGAGCUACCUGUUAAAAAGUCUGGGUCGCCAAGGAGACGAGGAGGGCGUGCGGUUGGUACUGGAGGAGAUGGCAGACGUGCAGGCGGAUCUGGAUCGUGUGGAGGCGCGCUCACUCGUAUAUGCACUAAAUGCGGUACAUGAUAAGGCUAUCUACAACUACGUCAAAAAGUACCUCUUCUACUUGGGCGAGCGGAAGGUUAAGUUCUUGCGGAUCACGUACGCUGACCUGCGCGGGCACGGCGCGGAAAAACUGCGUGUGCCGCUGAAAGAGAAUGACUCGAUGUUCUACCACGUUUGCUGGCACGCCAGCAUCCGUCAGCCGCGCCAGUUCUCUCCACGACAGCUCUACUUUGACUACACGCCAUCCCAACUCGCCACAAGCGGGCACAGCCCGAAUGCAAAGGUGGACGGCAUCGUGAAGGACAAGAUCGACAAAUGGAAGGCGGAGGGUCUUCUGCCGGAGGAUUACGUUUACGAAGAUCGCGUCUACGAUCGCACCGCGGCUUUUAAGAGUGUGGCCCGCCAAGAGAAGUGGAAGAAAGUGCCGUGGAUCGUCAAGAGCAAGCGGUUCGGCUACUCAGGGGAGCCGUGAGGCCGUUCCUGAUCUUCUAGUUCUUUACUUUCUGUGUACGCUGCCGUUCCGAAGGCACCGCCUCGGCUCUCACCGCGUAUGCCAGCUGACUGGCUUGGGCCACUUCAGGAAGAGGGUACCGCAGGCACAGAACGCAGUGAAACCGACUUCACCGUUGUUUUGUUAGAAGUGCUGUGUGACACUCGCGCUGGUGAUCUUUGGUGUAGCGUAUGCGCAUGGUAGUGCGUGUGGUUAUUCACAGCUCUGUUUGUGCGUAUGUGUGCCUUAUUGUCUCACUGUCACCAGUGGUACAUGUAAUCG
rnacentral:misc_RNA from 1 species